CAAACGUUGUCUCGUUCGUCUCCUUCCGUGAGGUGUUGGUCUUGAAUCAGCGAUCUAACCCUAAGUCUUUCUGGCUCAAUGCCGGUUCUUGCUCAGUUUCUGAGCAAUAUGUAAAGCUCUGACCUCAUUGCACUUGUCGUGUUUGUUUUUUGGGGUUAUCUUUCACACACGACACGGGGAUUUGAGCUUCGAACAAGAAACCUUGGAAGAGAGUCGAACGAGCGUGGAUCCAACACUGGAAAAUGCACUCGCCUUUGAAGCUGGAC
rnacentral:telomerase_RNA from 1 species